ACGGAAGGCAGCAGUGGGGAAUAUUGGGCAAUGGGCGCAAGCCUGACCCAGCAACGCCGCGUGAAGGAAGAAGGCUUUCGGGUUGUAAACUUCUUUUGACGGGGAGGAGAAGAAGACAGUACCUGUCGAAUAAGCCACGGCUAACUACGUGCCAGCAGCCGCGGUAAUACGUAGGUGGCAAGCGUUGUCCGGAUUAACUGGGUGUAAAGGGCGUGUAGCCGGGUCGGCAAGUCAGAUGUGAAAUGCACAGGCUCAACCUGUGAACUGCAUUUGAAACUGCUGGUCUUGAGUAUCGGAGAGGCAAUCGGAAUUCCUAGUGUAGCGGUGAAAUGCGUAGAUAUUAGGAGGAACACCAGUGGCGAAGGCGGAUUGCUGGACGACAACUGACGGUGAGGCGCGAAAGCGUGGGGAGCAAACAGGAUUAGAUACCCUGGUA
rnacentral:rRNA from 1 species